rnacentral:rRNA from 1 species
AUUGAACGCUGGCGGCAUGCCUUACACAUGCAAGUCGAACGGUAACAGGUCUUCGGAUGCUGACGAGUGGCGAACGGGUGAGUAAUACAUCGGAACGUGCCCGAUCGUGGGGGAUAACGGAGCGAAAGCUUUGCUAAUACCGCAUACGAUCUACGGAUGAAAGCAGGGGACCGCAAGGCCUUGCGCGGACGGAGCGGCCGAUGGCAGAUUAGGUAGUUGGUGGGAUAAAAGCUUACCAAGCCGACGAUCUGUAGCUGAUCUGAGAGGAUGACCAGCCACACUGGGACUGAGACACGGCCCAGACUCCUACGGGAGGCAGCAGUGGGGAAUUUUGGACAAUGGGCGAAAGCCUGAUCCAGCCAUGCCGCGUGCAGGAUGAAGGCCUUCGGGUUGUAAACUGCUUUUGUACGGAACGAAAAGCCUCUUUCUAAUAAAGAGAGGUCAUGACGGUACCGUAAGAAUAAGCACCGGCUAACUACGUGCCAGCAGCCGCAGUAAAAC